rnacentral:tRNA from 1 species
GUUGGUCAAGCGGUUAAGACACCGCCCUUUCACGGCGGUAACACGGGUUCGAAUCCCGUAC